rnacentral:rRNA from 1 species
ACGGAGGGGGCUAGCGUUGUUCGGAAUUAUUGGGCGUAAAGGGCACGUAGGCGGUCAAGCAAGUUGGUGGUGAAAGCCCUCGGCUCAACCGGGGAAUUGCCCCCAAAACUGCUUGACUUGAGUCCCGGAGAGGGUGGCGGAAUUCCCAGUGUAGCGGUGAAAUGCGUAGAUAUUGGGAGGAACACCAGUGGCGAAGGCGGUCACCUGGACGGGUACUGACGCUGAGGUGCGAAAGCGUGGGGAGCAAACAGG